GGCACGGGGGGCCUACGGGAGGCAGUGGGGAAUAUUGGACAAUGGGGGAAAGCCUGAUCCAGCCAUGCCGCGUGUGUGAGAAGGUCUUCGGAUUGUAAAGCACUUUAUCUGGAAGGAAGGGCAUUAACCUAAUACCUUUGGAGUUAUGACGGUACCGACAGAAUAAGCA
rnacentral:rRNA from 1 species